ensembl:snoRNA
ACAAAUGGGGAGAGAGAGAAAGAUGCUCCUCAGGAUUUCAGAUUGGUCUCACGGUGGCCACUCUUUCCUUGAGGGGUGCACUAGGU